UACAGAGGUCUCAAGCGUUGUUCGGAUUCACUGGGCGUAAAGGGUGCGUAGGCGGCGCGGUAAGUCGGGUGUGAAAUCUUGGAGCUUAACUCCGAAACUGCAUUCGAUACUGCCGUGCUUGAGGACUGGAGAGGAGACUGGAAUUUACGGUGUAGCGGUGAAAUGCGUAGAUAUCGUAAGGAAGACCAGUGGCGAAGGCGGGUCUCUGGACAGUUCCUGACGCUGAGGCACGAAGGCCCAGGGGGAGCAAAACGGG
rnacentral:rRNA from 1 species